GAUGAACGCUGGCGGCGUGCCUAAUACAUGCAAGUCGAGCGAACAGACGAGGAGCUUGCUCCUCUGACGUUAGCGGCGGACGGGUGAGUAACACGUGGAUAACCUACCUAUAAGACUGGGAUAACUUCGGGAAACCGGAGCUAAUACCGGAUAACAUGUUGAACCGCAUGGUUCAACAGUGAAAGACGGUCUUGCUGUCACUUAUAGAUGGAUCCGCGCCGCAUUAGCUAGUUGGUAAGGUAACGGCUUACCAAGGCAACGAUGCGUAGCCGACCUGAGAGGGUGAUCGGCCACACUGGAACUGAGACAAGGUCCAGACUCCUACGGGAGGCAGCAGUAGGGAAACUUCCGCAAUGGGCGAAAGCCUGACGGAGCAACGCCGCGUGAGUGAUGAAAGGCUUCGGAUCGUAAAACUCUGUUAUUAGGGAAGAACAAAUGUGUAAGUAACUAUGCACGUCUUGACGGUACCUAAUCAGAAAGCCACGGCUAACUUCGUG
rnacentral:rRNA from 1 species